CGUCACACUAUCAUUAACUGAAUCCAUAGGUUAAUGAGGCGAACCGGGGGAACUGAAACAUCUAAGUACCCCGAGGAAAAGAAAUCAACCGAGAUUCCCCCAGUAGCGGCGAGCGAACGGGGAGGAGCCCAGAGCCUGAAUCAGCAUGUGUGUUAGUGGAAGCGUCUGGAAAGGCGCGCGAUACAGGGUGACAGCCCCGUACACAAAAGCGCAUGUGCUGUGAGCUCGAUGAGUAGGGCGGGACACGUGGUAUCCUGUCUGAAUAUGGGGGGACCAUCCUCCAAGGCUAAAUACUCCUGACUGACCGAUAGUGAACCAGUACCGUGAGGGAAAGGCGAAAAGAACCCCGGCGAGGGGAGUGAAAAAGAACCUGAAACCGUGUACGUACAAGCAGUGGGAGCACCCUUUGGGUGUGACUGCGUACCUUUUGUAUAAUGGGUCAGCGACUUAUAUUCUGUAGCAAGGUUAACCGAAUAGGGGAGCCGGAGGGAAACCGAGUCUUAAC
rnacentral:rRNA from 1 species